rnacentral:rRNA from 1 species
CCCGGGAUAGCCCAGGGAAACCUGGAUUAAUACCGGAUGAGACGGGACCCGCGAUGGCGGGACCCGGGAAAGGCGCUGCGGCGCCGCCGGGGGGACUGAGUCUGCGUCCCAUUAGCUAGACGGCGGGGUAACGGCCCACCGUGGCGACGAUGGGUAGCCGGCCUGAGAGGGUGGACGGCCACAUUGGAACUGAGACACGGUCCAGACCUCCUACGGGAGGCAGCAGCUAAGAAUCUUCCGCAAUGGGCGAAAGCCUGACGGAGCGAACCGCCGCGUGAACGAAGAAGGCCGUGAGGUUGUAAAGUUCUUUUCGGGAGGGGGGAACAACCGUAGGCAGGGAAUGGCCGCGGGAUGACGUGAAUCCCGGAAUAAAGCCCCGGCUAACUACGUGCCAGCCGCCGC